UACGUAGGGUGCAAGCGUUAAUCGGAAUUACUGGGCGUAAAGCGUGCGCAGGCGGUUUUGUAAGUCUGUCGUGAAAUCCCCGGGCUCAACCUGGGAAUUGCGAUGGAGACUGCAAGGCUAGAAUCUGGCAGAGGGGGGUAGAAUUCCAGGUGUAGCGGUGAAAUGCGUAGAUAUCUGGAGGAACACCGGUGGCGAAGGCGGCAUCCUGGACCAACACUGACGCUGAGGAGCGAAAGCCAGGGGAGCAAACGGG
rnacentral:rRNA from 1 species